GCCUACGGCCAUACCACCCUGAAAGCGCCCGAUCUCGUCUGAUCUCGGAAGCUAAGAAGGGGCGGGCUUGGUAAGUACCUGGAUGGGAGACCGCCUGGGAAUAUCAGGUGUUGUAGGCU
rnacentral:rRNA from 1 species